rnacentral:rRNA from 1 species
CGAACCGGGGGAACUGAAACAUCUAAGUACCCCGAGGAAAAGAAAUCAACCGAGAUUCCCCCAGUAGCGGCGAGCGAACGGGGAACAGCCCAGAGCCUGAAUCAGCUUGUGUGUCAGUGGAACGGUCUGGAAAGGCCGGCGAUACAGGGUGACAGCCCCGUACACGAAGGCACACAGGCUGUGAGCUCGAUGAGUAGGGCGGGACACGUGAUAUCCUGUCUGAAGAUGGGGGGACCAUCCUCCAAGGCUAAAUACUCCUGACUGACCGAUAGUGAACCAGUACCGUGAGGGAAAGGCGAAAAGAACCCCGGCGAGGGGAGUGAAACAGAACCUGAAACCGUGUACGUACAAGCAGUGGGAGCCUUCGUAAGAGGGUGACUGCGUACCUUUUGUAUAAUGGGUCAGCGACUUAUAUUCUGUAGCAAGGUUAACCGUAUAGGGGAGCCGAAGGGAAACCGAGUCUUAAUUGGGCGUUAAGUUGCAGGGUAUAGACCCGAAACCCGGUGAUCUAGCCAUGGGCAGGUUGAAGGUUGGGUAACACUAACUGGAGGACCGAACCGACUAAUGUUGAAAAAUUAGCGGAUGACCUGUGGCUGGGGGUGAAAGGCCAAUCAAACCGGGAGAUAGCUGGUUCUCCCCGAAAGCUAUUUAGGUAGCGCCUCGUGAAUUCAUCUCCGGGGGUAGAGCACUGUUUCGGCUAGGGGGCCAUCCCGGCUUACCAACCCGAUGCAAACUGCGAAUACCGGAGAAUGUUAUCACGGGAGACACACGGCGGGUGCUAACGUCCGUCGUGAAGAGGGAAACAACCCAGACCGCCAGCUAAGGUCCCAAAGUCAUGGUUAAGUGGGAAACGAUGUGGGAAGGCCCAGACAGCCAGGAUGUUGGCUUAGAAGCAGCCAUCAUUUAAAGAAAGCGUAAUAGCUCACUGGUCGAGUCGGCCUGCGCGGAAGAUGUAACGGGGCUAAACCAUGCACCGAAGCUGCGGCAGCGACGCUUAGGCGUUGUUGGGUAGGGGAGCGUUCUGUAAGCCUGCGAAGGUGUGCUGUGAGGCAUGCUGGAGGUAUCAGAAGUGCGAAUGCUGACAUAAGUAACGAUAAAGCGGGUGAAAAGCCCGCUCGCCGGAAGACCAAGGGUUCCUGUCCAACGUUAAUCGGGGCAGGGUGAGUCGACCCCUAAGGCGAGGCCGAAAGGCGUAGUCGAUGGGAAACAGGUUAAUAUUCCUGUACUUGGUGUUACUGCGAAGGGGGGACGGAGAAGGCUAUGUCAGCCGGGCGACGGUCGUCCCGGUUUAAGCGUGUAGGCUGACUUUCCAGGCAAAUCCGGAAAGUUAAGGCUGAGGCGUGAUGACGAGGCACCACGGUGCUGAAGUGACAAAUGCCCUGCUUCCAGGAAAAGCCUCUAAGCAUCAGGUAACAUCAAAUCGUACCCCAAACCGACACAGGUGGUCAGGUAGAGAAUACCAAGGCGCUUGAGAGAACUCGGGUGAAGGAACUAGGCAAAAUGGUGCCGUAACUUCGGGAGAAGGCACGCUGACAUGUAGGUGAAGCCCCUGCGGGUGGAGCUGAAGUCAGUCGAAGAUACCAGCUGGCUGCAACUGUUUAUUAAAAACACAGCACUGUGCAAACACGAAAGUGGACGUAUACGGUGUGACGCCUGCCCGGUGCCGGAAGGUUAAUUGAUGGGGUUAUCGCAAGAGAAGCUCCUGAUCGAAGCCCCGGUAAACGGCGGCCGUAACUAUAACGGUCCUAAGGUAGCGAAAUUCCUUGUCGGGUAAGUUCCGACCUGCACGAAUGGCGUAAUGAUGGCCAGGCUGUCUCCACCCGAGACUCAGUGAAAUUGAACUCGCUGUGAAGAUGCAGUGUACCCGCGGCAAGACGGAAAGACCCCGUGAACCUUUACUACAGCUUGACACUGAACAUUGAGCCUUGAUGUGUAGGAUAGGUGGGAGGCUUUGAAGCGUGGACGCCAGUCUGCGUGGAGCCAACCUUGAAAUACCACCCUUUAAUGUUUGAUGUUCUAACCUGGCGCCAUAAUCUGGCGUGGGGACAGUGUCUGGUGGGUAGUUUGACUGGGGCGGUCUCCUCCCAAAGUGUAACGGAGGAGCACGAAGGUCAGCUAAUCCUGGUCGGACAUCAGGAGGUUAGUGCAAUGGCAUAAGCUGGCUUGACUGCGAGAGUGACGGCUCGAGCAGGUGCGAAAGCAGGUCAUAGUGAUCCGGUGGUUCUGUAUGGAAGGGCCAUCGCUCAACGGAUAAAAGGUACUCCGGGGAUAACAGGCUGAUACCGCCCAAGAGUUCAUAUCGACGGCGGUGUUUGGCACCUCGAUGUCGGCUCAUCACAUCCUGGGGCUGAAGUAGGUCCCAAGGGUAUGGCUGUUCGCCAUUUAAAGUGGUACGCGAGCUGGGUUUAGAACGUCGUGAGACAGUUCGGUCCCUAUCUGCCGUGGGCGCUGGAGAAUUGAGGGGGGCUGCUCCCAGUACGAGAGGACCGGAGUGGACGCAUCACUGGUGUUCGGGUUGUCAUGCCAAUGGCACUGCCCGGUAGCUAAAUGCGGAAGAGAUAAGUGCUGAAAGCAUCUAAGCACGAAACUUGCCCCGAGAUGAGUUCU